AGAGUUUGAUCCUGGCUCAGAUUGAACGCUGGCGGUAUGCUUAACACAUGCAAGUCGAACGGUAACAUGGGUGCUUGCACCUGAUGACGAGUGGCGGACGGGUGAGUAACGCGUAGGAAUCUACCUAGUAGAGGGGGACAACGUGUGGAAACGCACGCUAAUACCGCAUACGCCCUACGGGGGAAAGCGGGGGAUCUUCGGACCUCGCACUAUUAGAUGAGCCUGCGUUAGAUUAGCUAGUUGGUGGGGUAAAGGCUCACCAAGGCGACGAUCUAUAGCUGGUCUGAGAGGACGAUCAGCCACACUGGGACUGAGACACGGCCCAGACUCCUACGGGAGGCAGCAGUGGGGAAUAUUGGACAAUGGGCGAAAGCCUGAUCCAGCAAUACCGCGUGUGUGAAGAAGGCCCGAGGGUUGUAAAGCACUUUCAAUUGGGAGGAAAAAGUAACGGUUAAUAGCCUUUACCUUGACAUUACCUUUAGAAGAAGCACCGGCUAACUCCGUGCCAGCAGCCGCGGUAAUACGGAGGGUGCGAGCGUUAAUCGGAAUUACUGGGCGUAAAGCGUACGUAGGCGGUUCGUUAAGUUAGAUGUGAAAGCCCCGGGCUUAACCUGGGAACUGCAUUUAAACUGGCGAACUAGAGUUGAGUAGAGGGGAGUGGAAUUUCAGGUGUAGCG
rnacentral:rRNA from 1 species